rnacentral:rRNA from 1 species
UACGUAGGGGGCAAGCGUUAUCCGGAUUUACUGGGUGUAAAGGGAGCGUAGACGGUGAUGCAAGUCAGAAGUGAAAGCCCGGGGCUCAACUCCGGGACUGCUCUUGGAACUGCGUGGCUGGAGUGCAGGAGGGGCAGGCGGAAUUCCUGGUGUAGCGGUGAAAUGCGUAGAUAUCAGGAGGAACACCGGUGGCGAAGGCGGCCUGCUGGACUGCAACUGACGUUGAGGCCCGAAAGCGUGGGGAGCAAACAGG